rnacentral:rRNA from 1 species
GACGAACGCUGGCGGCGUGCCUAAUACAUGCAAGUAGGACGCAGUUGCGAACGGGUGAGUAACGCGUAGGUAACUACCUAUUAGAGGGGGAUAACUAUUGGAACUGAUAGCUAAUAACGCAUACUAGUAGAUGGACCUGCGUUGUAUUAGCUAGUAGGUAGGGUAAUGGCCUACCUAGGCAACGAUACAUAGACGACCUGAUAGAGUUAUCGGCCGCACUUGAGCUGAGACACGGCCCAGACUCCUACGGGAGGAAGCAGAAGGGAAACUUCGGCAAUGGGGGGAACCCUGACCGAGCAACGCCGCGUGAGUGAAGAAGGUUUUCGGAUCGUAAAGAUCUGUUGUUAAGGAAGCGGUACUUAACCAGAAAGGGACGGCUAACUACGUGCCAGCAGCCGCGGUAAUAC